rnacentral:lncRNA from 1 species
AGAAACAAGGGAGCCACUAGCCCGGGAUUGCCCCAUCACAUGAAGCCACGGCUGUGUCUGCAGGGAUUAUCCAUGGCCCAGGGCCUAAAAUUCGCAUCCACCUUAGUGACUACAGACACUGCCGGUCUAACCAGGGGCAGCCUCCUGACAAGAUUUUACUAAAUGGCACUCUGCUAUAUCCAUCAGGAGAACCACAGCUUCUCCACACGUUGUCACCCAUUUGCUUUGCUAACAGAAAUGGUAUCUUGCCCUGGUCUCCAUAGCUCACCUUGGCUCAACCUUGGGACAGUGAAAGAAAAAGUCAAUACAUGGCACCUCCAUGGGGAAAAUAAAUGGGAAAUGUCACUCCUCACUCUAAGGAGGAGUGGAGUUCACCCUCUGUGGAUGCCUUCCCUAUUAGGAUUCCAGAAACACACCUAGCCCUUGCCCUAGAUGGAGAAUCCCCCUUCUCAUGGGGUAGACCACCUUGGGAGCACAUUACAGGUUCCUACUCGGUAACAAUUUGGGGAGAACAACAUGGCAGCACUCUACAGCAGCAACACAGCAGCACACAGUGGAGCAACUGAAUUGCACUGAACAGAACGGCCUCACCAGUGAGGCAGCCACACCGGCGAGGAUGUUAAAAGCCUCAGCAGCUCCGAGAUAUCUUGUGCUAAACAGAAGAGGUAGUCUAUUGUGCCGACUACACCAAUUUCUUAAAUUUGCGAUCUUUAAGAUGCAGAGCUCUUGCCAAUGAUUGCGAGAGACAUAAGAUGAAAAUAAAGAUUUAUUACUUACAGGUCCUGGGGGAUACAGGCCCUGUCUGGAGGACACACACACACACACACACACAUACACCCACACCCACACACACACACAGAGGUCAGGGGCAGUAUGGGGAGGACAGAGGGGGAACCCAUGGGUCAAGGCCUUUAUUAGGGUACAGAAUAUUAUUCAAACAGAUUGUCCUCAGGGAGUUUUAAUUGGUGGAUUUAAUGCAAGCAGACAUGAGAUCCAGGUAAUUAGAGGUGGUCACUGCAGCAGGCAGGGUGUGGGGUCAGUGGGGCAGUCAUACGGGCUGUAUCCGGAAGUCCCAUAGGGAGGAGGUCACCAGGAGGCAGUUGUAUAAAUCAGAUAUCUGAUCAAUCACACUGAGGAACUGGAAGGAGGUGGAGAACUGGAAACUAUUUCAAAGGUGACUGAGCCCUGCUUCUGGUAUGAGAAAGUCCAACUUCCAUCCAAAACGGAUGCCAAGGCAUUGUAAAAUUGUAAGCAUUCACAAAUACUUUCGAUGCAUUCUUAUUUAGCUGACUUCUAGUUUUUACAGCCCAAAUAUCAUCAUUUUUCAUUCUUAUUUGGCAACAUUCUGUUAGGUGCAGCAUGUAUGGAGGGCACCUCCUUUAUUAAUACAUGUGGAUUUGCUCUAAUUGUGGUUUUUUCAUUGGUUCCAUUGCAUGGCUACACUAUGAUCUUUUACCCACACCCCUGUUGCUGGAUUUGAGGCUGCUCGUCACUUGUCACAUUGACAUGACCUUCUGCAGUGAACAUCCUCAUACACACAUCUCUACCAUGUGGAGUACUGUUCCUGGAGCUCAUUCCUUCAACAUGUAUUUAUGAAGUACCCUGUGCUGGGCUAUUGGCUGGUCUCUGGCUUUAGCAGAGACAGAACAGGCAAGCUUGGCCUUCUCAGAGCUCACAGCACAGGGAGGCCUUCAGAAGUAGGAUAGUGGUCAGAGCGUGUGCGCGUUAAACAUGGUGAGGUCAAUGUUGCUGUAGGGACUAAACUGCAGUCCCAUCAGAAGUAUAUGGGAAUGUCCAUCUCCAUGUCCUCACCUUUCUUGGCAUAAUUAUUUGAGUACUGCAUGUGUUCCUGUGUCCUAUUCUUUGCCCACACAUCAUCCAUAUUUACCCUCUUAACCGUCCAUCCUCCACCUUGUCCCUAAGUGCUGUUGUUAAUAGCCCUGUGGUAGACCAGAUGCCAGGAGCCCUGAGAUAUCCUAAGCAGCUCCCUCUGCCAGUCCUUCCAAGAGUUCUGGUUCCACAGGUGACACACCUGAACACAGGUAACCCCUGCAAAAUCUGUGAUUACCACGCAAGGCUGACAGUGAGUGGUGGGUGUUCUAGGAGGGGCCACCACCUCCAUAUGCAGGGUCAGAGAACACUGAGUGGAGCAGGAGGCUGAUGACUUUGACCACAAGGUAGGUGGAUGGGUAUGUUUGGCUUUAUAGGGAAGGGAAGGGAAGACAAGGGAAGACGAAGGGAUAGGGGUGGGGAGGGGAAGGGGAGGGGAAGGGGGAGGGGAAAAGGGAAGGGGAAGGGGAAGGGAAAGUUUGGGCAUUGCAGGCAACAUCACAAAGGUUGGAACCUGCCUCUGGGGUACAAGAACAGCAAGGAGGCCACCCAGGAUGCAGCUGAGGACGGAAGACAUGGGGAGCAGUGGAUCUAGGGGAGAAGCAGACUGUGAUUGACCUUGGGGGCUGGGCGGUGAACAGAGGUGUGUUAUGUGUGUCUGUCCCAGUCACAGAUAUGAGGAGGAGUGGGGCCGCAAGUGGCACCUGGUUCGGUGGGAUUUCCUAAUACCUGCUGUUCAUCAGAGCCUCUCCAUGUAGCAUGUCAGUAUAGAUCUGAGGCUGUGUCUGGGAGGGGGAGCUGGUGGUCCAAGGCAGCCUGUGGUGCUUACUGUCCCUAGGGGUGGGAGGAGAGGGAUGAGGACACCCCUGCGCAGUGAAGCCUCAGGUGUGUGGAGCCACAGGUAUCUCACCUGGUGAUUCUUGUCAGACACGUGCCUUGGGUGAGGAUGUCAGGGUGAGAGUCACUGUCAUUUUUCUUAAAAUGUACAUGGCAUGGACCCAGGUAUUCAGGGACCCAGAGAACAAGGCCCCUGGUGAGAGAGGGUUGCAUGGAGCUGAGCAGUUUCAUGUGCUCAGAGUGGGAGGGACUCCUGAAAAGACAAAGCCUCAAUCCUACCUGUCAGGAGCCAUGCCUAUUUCCAGGAGAGAUGACAAGGGUGACCCAGGACAGACAUUGAGUGUGAGGACAGGACAGAGAGGACCCUGGUGGCUUCUCAGGUGUGGGAAUGUGAGGUGGGGUUUGUUCCCAUCCAAAGCACAGAAGCCCUCCAUUGUACCCUGAGUGCUGUGUGUGACUAGCAGGGACACUGGAUGGGUUGGACCUGUGCCUCUUGAAGGCAGGGCUGGAUCUGUAGGACCAGAGAUGCCUCUGUGGGUAAGAGGUGAUGGGAAUGAGGAAGAUGGGGGUGACUGUGAACCUAUUUUAGUUCCCUGGGGAUGUGUGCUGAAGAGGAAGUGGCCUAGAACAUUCCUUUUCUGGGUAAAGUGAAGCGGGGAAGCAGUGUGGAUUCUUUUUGUUUUGUUUUGUUUUUAGAUGGAGCCUCACUCUAUCUCCCAGGCUGGAGUGCAGUGGUGCGAUCUCAGCUCACUGCAACUUGUGUCUCCCAGGUUCAGGCAAUUCUCCUGCCUCAGCCUCCCGAACAGCCAGGACUACAGGCAUGAGCCACCAGGCCCGGCUAAAUUUUUUGUAUUUUUAGUAGAGAUGGGGUUUCACCAUGUUGGUCAGGCUGGUCUCGAACACCUGUCCUCAAGUGAUCUGCCUGCCUCAGCCUCCAAAAGUGCUGGGACUACAGGCGUGAGCCACUGCUCUCGGCCGCGGUGUGGAUUCUUCAGUGUGUUCUGAUAGCCAUGUGUCACUACACACUUGUUCUUUAUGUCUUCACAUCUCAUCCUGUUGCAUUUUAAAGCAUGUUCAUAGUAUGCAGUUUUGCCUAAUAAAGCAUUCUCAUAUAUACAUACAUAUAGAUAGAUGAUAGAUAGAUAGAUAGAUAGAUAGAUAGAUAGAUAGAUAGAUAGAUAGAUAGAUAGAUAUUCAGACAGAUCUUCAGGCCCCACUUGUCCCUGAGGAGGAUUAUUUGCCUAUGGAAAGAACAAGCAGAUGGCAAAGGCCUCUG